UGUAAGCAUUGUGACCUAGUGUUAGACUACUAUUGACCUUCCGAUGCUACAUCAGAAGGAGGGUCAUCUGCUUCCAUGGUGCUUAACCAUGGGUGAAUUCAGAAGGGAGAAAUAAGCUCCUGAAAGAUAGUGAAGACGGAAGUCAGGACAGGACACUAUACCAGAGAUGUCUCUUUAUAUGUAAUGAUACAAUUUAGGACCAAGAUACAAGAUGGUACGAUGGUUAGAAGCAAGGGCUCUGGUGCUGCUGGGUGUGAACCCAGAUCUGCCACUUGGUAAGCGUGCGGUGUUGAGAAGGGAGCCUCCCGUGUGCUUCUGUGAAAUGGAGAUAAAACACAGGACCUACCUCAUGGAUUCUCGGAGAAGAGGUAAAGGUGACUGGUAUGGUACCUCAUACAAAGUUAACGCUGAAAGACAUGAACCUGGAAGAAAAUUCCUCCCUGCCCUAGAGGUGAACCUGAACUUGCUUUCUCCCUGUCAUGGAUAUCCAAAGAACUUCCUUUUUGUGCUCUCAGCAACCUCAUAUUUAACCCUGCUGGUUUUCAUUUACUUUAUAAUUGAAUCAUAAUGAAUUUUAAAAUCCAUUCUAACUUCCUAAGAUCUCUAGAGAUUUGCUUCAUCAGUCUGACAUCACGUUCAUUUACAUUUCUUCUUUUUUCGUUUCCUUGUAUGAGGUCUAAGAAUUGUUCCAAUAAAACACUUUUAAGAUUGUA